CCUACGGGUGGCAGCAGUGAGGAAUAUUGGUCAAUGGGGGCAAGCCUUAACCAGCGACGUCGCGUGAAGGAAGACUGCCCUCUGGUUUGUAACCUUCUUUUGUGUGGACGUAAAGUGCGGUAUGUAUACUGCUUUCCAUGUCCCUUAUGAAUCAGGAUCGGCUAACUCCGUGCCAGCAGCAGCGGUAAUACGGAGUUUCCGAGCGUUAUCCGGAUUUACUGGGUGUAAAGGGUGCGUAGGCGGGUUGUCAAGUCAGUAGUGAAAGUUAUGGGCUCAACUGUAAAAUUGCAGUUGAAACUGGUAUCCUUGAGUGAAGUAGAGGCAGGCGGAAUUCGUGGUGUAGCGGUGAAAUGCGUAGAUAUCACGAAGAACACCGAUUGCGAAGGCAGCUUGCUGGACUGUAACUGACGCUGAGGCUCGAAAGCGUGGGGAGCAAACAGGAUUAGAUACCCUAGUAGUC
rnacentral:rRNA from 1 species